AAAAAGGGCUUCUGUCUGGAGUGGCACACGUAGGGUAGGGCAGCUUGAUUGUUCACGUGCAUAAUCGACAUCAAGAGAUUUCAGAAGCACAUUCUUUUGUUAUUUAGGCAGCUGGUGAUUGUUGGUCCUGGCACUCCU
rfam:Myotis brandtii contig275011, whole genome shotgun sequence.